GGAGCAGCCCAGAGCCUGAAUCAGUGUGUGUGUUAGUGGAAGCGUCUGGAAAGGCGUGCGAUACAGGGUGACAGCCCCGUACACAAAAAUGCACAUACUGUGAGCUCGAUGAGUAGGGCGGGACACGUGGUAUCCUGUCUGAAUAUGGGGGGACCAUCCUCCAAGGCUAAAUACUCCUGACUGACCGAUAGUGAACCAGUACCGUGAGGGAAAGGCGAAAAGAACCCCGGCGAGGGGAGUGAAAAAGAACCUGAAACCGUGUACGUACAAGCAGUGGGAGCACGCUUAGGCGUGUGACUGCGUACCUUUUGUAUAAUGGGUCAGCGACUUAUAUUCUGUAGCAAGGUUAACCGAAUAGGGGAGCCGAAGGGAAACCGAGUCUUAACUGGGCGUUAAGUUGCAGGGUAUAGACCCGAAACCCGGUGAUCUAGCCAUGGGCAGGUUGAAGGUUGGGUAACACUAACUGGAGGACCGAACCGACUAAUGUUGAAAAAUUAGCGGAUGACUUGUGGCUGGGGGUGAAAGGCCAAUCAAACCGGGAGAUAGCUGGUUCUCCCCGAAAGCUAUUUAGGUAGCGCCUCGUGAAUUCAUCUCCGGGGGUAGAGCACUGUUUCGGCAAGGGGGUCAUCCCGACUUACCAACCCGAUGCAAACUGCGAAUACCGGAGAAUGUUAUCACGGGAGACACACGGCGGGUGCUAACGUCCGUCGUGAAGAGGGAAACAACCCAGACCGCCAGCUAAGGUCCCAAAGUCAUGGUUAAGUGGGAAACGAUGUGGGAAGGCCCAGACAGCCAGGAUGUUGGCUUAGAAGCAGCCAUCAUUUAAAGAAAGCGUAAUAGCUCACUGGUCGAGUCGGCCUGCGCGGAAGAUGUAACGGGGCUAAACCAUGCACCGAAGCUGCGGCAGCGACGCUUAUGCGUUGUUGGGUAGGGGAGCGUUCUGUAAGCCUGUGAAGGUGUGCUGUGAGGUAUGCUGGAGGUAUCAGAAGUGCGAAUGCUGACAUAAGUAACGAUAAAGCGGGUGAAAAGCCCGCUCGCCGGAAGACCAAGGGUUCCUGUCCAACGUUAAUCGGGGCAGGGUGAGUCGACCCCUAAGGCGAGGCCGAAAGGCGUAGUCGAUGGGAAACAGGUUAAUAUUCCUGUACUUGGUGUUACUGCGAAGGGGGGACGGAGAAGGCUAUGUUGGCCGGGCGACGGUUGUCCCGGUUUAAGCGUGUAGGCUGGUUUUCCAGGCAAAUCCGGAAAAUCAAGGCCGAGGCGUGAUGACGAGGCACUACGGUGCUGAAGCAACAAAUGCCCUGCUUCCAGGAAAAGCCUCUAAGCAUCAGGUAACAUCAAAUCGUACCCCAAACCGACACAGGUGGUCAGGUAGAGAAUACCAAGGCGCUUGAGAGAACUCGGGUGAAGGAACUAGGCAAAAUGGUGCCGUAACUUCGGGAGAAGGCACGCUGAUACGUAGGUGAAGCGACUUGCUCGUGGAGCUGAAAUCAGUCGAAGAUACCAGCUGGCUGCAACUGUUUAUUAAAAACACAGCACUGUGCAAACACGAAAGUGGACGUAUACGGUGUGACGCCUGCCCGGUGCCGGAAGGUUAAUUGAUGGGGUUAGCGCAAGCGAAGCUCUUGAUCGAAGCCCCGGUAAACGGCGGCCGUAACUAUAACGGUCCUAAGGUAGCGAAAUUCCUUGUCGGGUAAGUUCCGACCUGCACGAAUGGCGUAAUGAUGGCCAGGCUGUCUCCACCCGAGACUCAGUGAAAUUGAACUCGCUGUGAAGAUGCAGUGUACCCGCGGCAAGACGGAAAGACCCCGUGAACCUUUACUAUAGCUUGACACUGAACAUUGAGCCUUGAUGUGUAGGAUAGGUGGGAGGCUUUGAAGUGUGGACGCCAGUCUGCAUGGAGCCGACCUUGAAAUACCACCCUUUAAUGUUUGAUGUUCUAACGUGGACCCGUGAUCCGGGUUGCGGACAGUGUCUGGUGGGUAGUUUGACUGGGGCGGUCUCCUCCUAAAGAGUAACGGAGGAGCACGAAGGUUGGCUAAUCCUGGUCGGACAUCAGGAGGUUAGUGCAAUGGCAUAAGCCAGCUUGACUGCGAGCGUGACGGCGCGAGCAGGUGCGAAAGCAGGUCAUAGUGAUCCGGUGGUUCUGAAUGGAAGGGCCAUCGCUCAACGGAUAAAAGGUACUCCGGGGAUAACAGGCUGAUACCGCCCAAGAGUUCAUAUCGACGGCGGUGUUUGGCACCUCGAUGUCGGCUCAUCACAUCCUGGGGCUGAAGUAGGUCCCAAGGGUAUGGCUGUUCGCCAUUUAAAGUGGUACGCGAGCUGGGUUUAGAACGUCGUGAGACAGUUCGGUCCCUAUCUGCCGUGGGCGCUGGAGAACUGAGGGGGGCUGCUCCUAGUACGAGAGGACCGGAGUGGACGCAUCACUGGUGUUCGGGUUGUCAUGCCAAUGGCACUGCCCGGUAGCUAAAUGCGGAAGAGAUAAGUGCUGAAAGCAUCUAAGCACGAAACUUGCCCCGAGAUGAGUUCUCCCUGACCCUUUAAGGGUCCUGAAGGAACGUUGAAGACGACGACGUUGAUAGGCCGGGUGUGUAAGCGCAGCGAUGCGUUGAGCUAACCGGUACUAAUGAACCGU
rnacentral:rRNA from 1 species